rnacentral:rRNA from 1 species
CCUACGGGUGGCUGCAGUGGGGAAUAUUGGACAAUGGGGGCAACCCUGAUCCAGCCAUGCCGCGUGUGUGAAGAAGGCCCUCGGGUUGUAAAGCACUUUCAGUGAGGAAGAACGCCUGGUGGUUAAUACCCAUCAGGAAAGACAUCACUCACAGAAGAAGCACCGGCUAACUCCGUGCCAGCAGCCGCGGUAAUACGGAGGGUGCGAGCGUUAAUCGGAAUUACUGGGCGUAAAGCGCGCGUAGGUGGCUUGAUAAGCCGGUUGUGAAAGCCCCGGGCUCAACCUGGGAACGGCAUCCGGAACUGUCAAGCUAGAGUGCAGGAGAGGAAGGUAGAAUUCCCGGUGUAGCGGUGAAAUGCGUAGAGAUCGGGAGGAAUACCAGUGGCGAAGGCGGCCUUCUGGACUGACACUGACACUGAGGUGCGAAAGCGUGGGUAGCAAACAGGAUUAGAUACCCUAGGAGUC